GAAACACAGGAGAGUCGACAUGUAAUGCCGGGUAGGAGCCCGGAAACUUCUCCGUAACACCACAUACCCCCACAAGCUUUGGAGACCUCUUCAUUACCUCCUACAGUCACCAGAGCUGUUUCUCAGACAGAAGGAUCAUAAUGAAUCUCCCAAUGGGCAUUUUGUUCACUUUGUUUUCACAGUAAAAGACAAGGAACGUAGAGGAUACCCUACGUUGUGUGAGAAACCCUAACCUCCUGAGAAUCAUCUAAGGCUGAUGUCAUUUCUCAGAAUGCUGGCUCAAGAAUCACAUCAGGGAGAGAGACUGGUUUUAUGCAGGUAACAGCCUCUGUGAGUUCAUGAAUAAAAUAGUUCAGUCAUGCCCAGAAGGCAUGGUUCCGUUUCUCAGUCUCACCAAGCAUUAAAUUUAUUUCAUAAAGCAUCCUGAAUAAUCCUACAAUCCAGAAGAAAAUAAAUGCACCCUUUGAGGAAACAGUCUCAUUUAUCACUGUUGACUUCUACAAUUUGACAAAUAUGUGGAGUUUGGGACUGAAAACACCACAUUCCAAAGUGGAUUAUGUUGAGACCCUGGUCUUCAAAGUGGCAUUAACAGAACACCUGCUUUGGUUGGGACAGGGUCUGUUACUGAACCUGGAGCUCACAAAUUUGGCAAGACUUGCUGUUACCCAUCAAGUUCCAGGGACGCUCCUAUUGGUGUCUCAGCAUUGCUGGAAUUAUAAGGGCAUCAUCACAUCCUAUAUUUUCUGUAUAUAAUAAUAAAGGAUAUAAAUAAUAAAAAAGAAUACUGAAUACUGUGUGAUGAGCAUCUUUCCUAGAAACUAACUGUGCUGUUCAUGAAUGCAGAGCUCUAGCCAGACCCAGACAAGAAUCCAUGUGCCUAUGGACACCUGAUUUUUUAAUAAAGAUGCAAGAAACACACAGUGGGAAAAAAGACAGCACCUUCAGCAAAUGGUGUUGGUUACACUGGAUGUCUGCAUGUAAAUAGUUCCACAGUUCUCACCCUGCACAAGACUCAACUCCAAACAGAUUAAAGGACCUUAACAUAAAACUAGAUACACCGAAUCUGAUAGAAGAGAAAGUGGGGAACAGCCCUGAUUCAUGGGCACAAGAGAAGACUUUCUGAAUAAAGCACAGACAAUAUGGGCACUAAGAUCAGCAGUUAAUAAUGGGACCUUAUUAUUCUGAAAAGCAUCUAUUUAUUUUCUAAGUGCAUAUGAAGAAUGGACUUGUUGACUGAAAUUGCCUAGGUUUGAUCCUCAAAACCAACAGCAAAAAAGAAGAAAGAGGAAAAAGUAAAUAAACAUCAGGAACCAUUUUAAAUCA